ACAUCCACACCUUUCAGCCGACAAUUACCUGGCUAUAAGAAACAGCUGCGCUUCACUACUGAGAGAAGGCAUUUGGCAGUCUUGGCAAUCUAAGGUGGCUGCAGCACUAGGCAGUUGAGCUCCACAUAUCUCUUAAGGAAAGCUACUCAGUUGCCCUUAGAGUGUGAGCUCCCUCAUCUGUCGCUCAUCGUGAUGAUAUGCAUUCCCAUUAUGGCUUCCAACCCAGUGCCAAAGAACCCUAUACAAGAGCUUAAAGAGGAAAUGAAGAAGAACUUGGAAGCAUCUCUCUGCGAACUAGAAAGGGCAACAAAUAAUUAUUGCAAAGACGCAGGUCUGCCACUCAACUCAACCAACACAGGGAAACUUAAAGGACAAACUUGGGGAAUGGGAAACGAAAUUGAAAUCAAGAAGUCCAUCUGUGCCAUUGUGGACUGCCUCAAAAGCCUGCCAGCAUUCGUCAAGGAUGUAAUUGGGGACCACAAGGAUAAAAAAGUCACCAAGAACACAAAUGCGUUCCUUAAACGGUUCAGCUUGACUGUUGCGCAGACAGAUUUCGCUGGUGCCCCCCAGCAACAGUGCAGGACAGAUUUAAACACUUCAGACACUUACAAUAAGAAAACCACUAUCUUCGGUAUUUUAAAAAACAGCAUGAUAUGGGUGAAAAAUUUCACACAGAUGGAGCCGUCCUGUUAAUGUUUUCAUUAACCUUUUAGGCAAAAUGUAAGACUUUUUUAAAAUAUUUAUUUUCCUAUUUAUUUAUUUAUUUAAAUAUUUUUUUGUAUUUAUUAGUUAAUUAUUAUCUUUUGCCUGUAUUUAUUUUAUUUAUAUCGAAUGAUGUGUAAUGUUUUAUGGCUGGUCCAUUCUGACUGGAUAAUGUAUUCUACCACAUGUGCAGUUUAAAAACAUUACCUGACAUAAUAAAAUGUUCAGCUCAGACCAUGAA